rnacentral:snoRNA from 1 species
CUGCAAUGAUGUGACUUUCUCACUGAAUCCUACCUUAAAGUGCAAAACUACAUGAGCUUUUAACAUUUACAAU